GCCAGGUAUGGUGGCACAUGCCUGUAGUCCCAGCUACUCAGGAGGCUGAGGCAGGAGAAUCGCUGGAACCCAGGAGGUGGAGGUUGCAGUGAGCCAAGAUCAGGCCACUGCACUCCAGCCUGGGUGACAAAGUGAGACCCUGUCUCAA
rnacentral:SRP_RNA from 1 species